rnacentral:rRNA from 1 species
GAUGAACGCUGGCGGCGUGCCUAAUACAUGCAAGUCGAGCGAACGGACGAGAAGCUUGCUUCUCUGAUGUUAGCGGCGGACGGGUGAGUAACACGUGGAUAACCUACCUAUAAGACCGGGAUAACUUCGGGAAACCGGAGCUAAUACCGGAUAAUAUUUUGAACCGCAUGGUUCAAAAGUGAAAGACGGUCUUGCUGUCACUUAUAGAUGGAUCCGCGCUGCAUUAGCUAGUUGGUAAGGUAACGGCUUACCAAGGCAACGAUGCAUAGCCGACCUGAGAGGGUGAUCGGCCACCCUGGAACUGAGACACGGUCCAGACUCCUACGGGAGGCAGCAGUAGGGAAUCUUCCGCAAUGGGCGAAAGCCUGACGGAGCAACGCCGCGUGAGUGAUGAAGGUCUUCGGAUCGUAAAACUCUGUUAUUAGGGAAGAACAUAUGUGUAAGUAACUGUGCACAUCUUGACGGUACCUAAUCAGAAAGCCACGGCUAACUACGUG